rnacentral:rRNA from 1 species
AUCGAACGCUGGCGGCAUGCCUAACACAUGCAAGUCGAACGGGAUCCUAGCUUGCUAGGUGAGAGUGGCGGACGGGUGAGUAACACGUGGGAAUCUGCCUUUUGGUUCGGGAUAACCGCGGGAAACUGCGGCUAAUACCGAAUGCCCUCGUGAGAGGAGAGAUUUAUCGCCAGAAGAGGAGCCCGCGUCCGAUUAGGUAGUUGGUGGGGUAAAGGCCUACCAAGCCGACGAUCGGUAGCUGGUCUGAGAGGAUGAUCAGCCACACUGGGACUGAGAUACGGACCAGACUCCUACGGGAGGCAGCAGUGGGGAAUAUUGGACAAUGGGGGGCAACCCUGAUCCAGCGACGCCGCGUGUGUGAAGAAGGCCUGAGGGUUGUAAAGCACUUUAGUUGGGGAGGAAGAAUCUAGAUAUGAAUAAGAUUUAGAAGUGACGUUACCCAAAGAAUAAGCACCGGCUAACUCUGUGCCAGCAGCCGCGGUAAU